ensembl:lncRNA
ACCGCCGGGGGCGGGGCCUGCGCCCAUCGCGAGAUCGGGACGGGGCCGCCCCCCGCCCCGCCCCGCCCGGGGCUGAGGGAGACCGCCUCCGCAGGGUGUCCUACUGUUUCCCUUGCUUUUCCCCGGCUUUUCCCCUUUGUCUUCUCUUCUUCCUGAUUAAACAAAUCACCGGGCCUGCAGGUGCCUCAGUAGUGUGCAGAAAAUUGUGCUGUGAAAGGCCAGUGUCCACAAAGGAGACAGAGGAGCCCUGCAAGAAUCUGUGUCACCUUGCCUUGCCUUGCACUCAGGAAAGGAUUGCUACCAUCCUUCUGGAAAGAGAGAAGGGAACAGACUGUUAUAGUAAUGCUACACUGUAGGGUGAUACAUUGUAGCUACUGUAUACAUGAGACAGUUUAGGGUAAUGGCUGCUGACACCUCAGGCAGUCUACAGUCCCCAAAAGUCUGUAAAAUUAGGGUGAUUACAAUUAUUGUGGUAUGUGACAAACAAAUACUUAAAUCCAUGGAGAACUGCUCUUUCUGAAUGUGAAAUCUGAUUUCUGUGAUACCUCAUUCAGUUUUGGAGGGGCUGAAACUCAGAAUCUGAGACUAUUUUGCUUCCAUUUUGGUGCUUUCAGUAUCAUCUUGUAUUUAUCUUGGAGCCUGGAAAUCUUUAAUAAAAUCCAGAUUGGAACGAAUUUUGUUGAUCA